rnacentral:lncRNA from 1 species
UCAAACAUCACAAGACCAUAAAAAUCGCUCAACAUAAUUUUUAAACAUUUAAUCAAUUUAGAAAUGAAUUAAAUGCAUUUUAAUUUGGAUAAAAUCUCAAAUCCCUUCAAAACACCAAAUAAAUGGCCAAGGGAUUUAUCCUAGGUCAAACAAGGUCAACGGACCUUAGAUAAAAAAUUUCACAACUUUAAACAAUCGGAAGUAUUUUAAAACAAU